CCUAACAUACCCUAUUUUUCAUUACUAUCCACACUUUUCUCUUUCUUGCCCUCUUUUCUCUCUCUUUUCCCCUCCCGUGUUCUCUCUUCUUCCUACCUCUUUUACCUCUCAAACCCUACCGCCGCCGUUCCCCUUUCACCACCCCUUCUCUAACCUUGAUUCAUGAUCUACGUCAAGGAAACAUUUACUCACCGUCGAGAAGAAGCAGAUUAAGGUAGUGCUCAAUUACAUUGAAGCUCCGUUCUUCUGUUCCAACCGUUUUCCGCUCCAGAUUCUUGUCGGAUCCGAAUCCACUCAUUUGCUUGAAAGUGGAAUAGUGCUACCUGUCAAGAUUUAUAAGGACAAAGAGAGUGGAAAUAUUUUGAACUUGGGAUUUGUUUGAGCUGAAGAUGGCACGAAUUUGAAGGUUGAUGUUCCGGUUGUUUUCAAAGGUGAAGAUGCUUGCCAUGGUCUUCAGAAAGGCACUAGCGGCUAGAAAUCCAGUUUGUAACUUUGCGCUGAUGGUUGGUACCACUGAUAUUCCUGAUUGGUGCUUUAUGGAGACCUAUGGAACCAAUGGGAGGGAUGGAAUUAAUGGUGGAUAUUUUCCAAAGCUAUGGUUGUAUUUUAUUUGGAAAAUCCCAAUCUACUUAAGUAAUAGUUGAUCUGCUGAAAUUUUCUUAGCAGCUACCUAUGAUCUUUUUUUUUCAGACCAACUAUUAAUUUUCAUACUUUAUCGACAUAUAAUUAUUGCAGGGAGCACAGAUAGCCUUGGCAAGUCCUGGAUUUAUCUAUGAACCUCAUGAACCUCAUGAUGCUUCUUAGUACAGCUUAUGUCAUAUAAGGAACCAAACAAAAUGACAACAAGGUCAUUUUCCAAGUUGUCCUAUAUUUAUACCAAUUUUGCACAGGUUUUCUUUCUAAUCUUCCCGCUCCUUCGGGUCUCCUUUUCAUGAGAUGUUAGCAGUUGAUUGUGAGAUGGGUGAUGCGUUAAAGAAAGUGAUUGGAGUAGUUUCUUACAUUGAGUGCAGCUAUAAAACACAACAGAAUGUGAAGGUAGUGUUUGAUGCUGCUAUAAAGAUUGCAUUGAGACCAUUCAAAAUCUACAAUCUAAUGCCAAAGAUAUUUUUCCUACAAGUUUACAGUAACUGACCAUAUAAAUACACCACACAAAGUUGAUGUUUUUUAAAUUUUACAACAAUAAAUUGUGUUAUUGGACUAUAAGUUUAGUACUUCAUCUAUCAGAUUAGUUGGCUUGGUUUU